rnacentral:tRNA from 1 species
GGUAGAAUGGCUGAGGUUUAAGCGGUAAAUUGUAAAUUUACAGACGAAAGUUAUUUCUUCUAUCA